AGAGCCGACGCGCCGUACCCGCCUGGCGGAGCGCUGCUAACCGCCGGCCCGUCGUUAGGGGAGGGGCGGCCGCUACCAUCCCGGGGGAGGGGCUCCUCGCGGCCGGCUGCUCCGUGCAAGCGACGGCUGCGGCUGGGAGGGUCGCCGUGCCACCGCGGGGUCACGUCGGAGCAACCGCGGAGCCGCCAGAGAGGCGGCCCCCCCCAUCACCACAGAGCCACUCCACAGCCACUGGCAGAGUCACCGUAGAGCCACCACAGAACCAUCACGAGAGCCCCUCUGCCACCACACAACACUUCUGCCAGUGUAGAGCCAUCACAGAGCCACCUCACAACCACUGGCAGAGCCACCAUAGAGCCACCACAGGCCCCUCUGCCACCCAGAGAGCCAUCACAGGGCCAUCGCAGCCACCAUAGAGCCAUCACAGGGCAACUACAGAGCCCCUCAGCCACCAGAGAGCCCCCACAACCGCUCUGCCACCAUAGAGCCACCACAGGGCCCCUCUGCCCCCCACAGAGCCAUCACAGAACAUCUCUACCACCAUGGACCCGCCACAGAGCCUCACUGCUACCACAGAGCCACCACAGAGCCUUUCUGCCAGCAGAGAACCACUACACAGACCCCCCUCUACCACCACAGAGCCAUCACAGAACCCCUCUGCCACCACAGAGCCACUACUCAGCCCUGGCUGCCACCACCACUGCUACAGAGCCACCUCAGAGCUGCCCUCAUUGCUACCACAGAGCACCCAGCACAGCCAUAGAAUGCCACCACCACUGCCCUACCCCUAAGUCCCUACCAUCAUCUGAGAGCCAUUGCCACCAAAACACCACUACAAAGACACCAGUAUCAUCAAAGGGGCAUAGGAGCUACCAUCAAGUUACCUCAAGGACACCAGUGCCACUCCAGAGCUGCCACCAUCACCACAGGACCAGCACAAAGACCACCAGCCUCUUCCUCCCAGGGGUUACUUAUAGCUGAGCUGAUGUACCCAUGGACAUUCUAGGGUACUGGGUCGUACCUCCACCUGGAGAACAUAUAACGACCAAACGAGGAGCAGCUGGCCCUGGGUUCAGCUGGGAGACACCCAGCAAAGCAAAGGGCUGCAGGGGAAGCAUCCUGCCCCCUCCUCACACAGCCCAAACCCACAGGAGAGGGGUGGCUUUGGCUGCUCUGGGGACAAGUCCUCAGUAGCAUGGCCAGGUGGGGCUCCCUGGGUGGCCCAGUCUGGGGGUAGGGGGCUGUGCCACCGGGAGGCAGCAGAGCCCAGGCAAUGAACACGUCACCUUGCACUGCAUGGGGCUCGUGUCAUUCUGAAGCUUGCUGGAGAAACCCCCAGGAGUAGGUUCUCCAUUAUGCUGCUGGACCCGUGCUUUAUUUAAUCGAGGCUUGCCUCGAUUAAGCGUAAUGUGGUGAUGGUUCUUCCUGGAGAUCCCAGAGGUGGCAUUACAGACUGUGUCUCUUGGCCCAGAGGACUCAAAGGGAGCGCUCCAUUGUCCUCUUCUGGGACAGCCUUGUGCCCCCUGCGGUGGGUGUGAGUUCACAGCAGGCCUUGCUGUCCCCCUGCUUAGCCGUGCUUCAUUUCUGACCGAGCUUUCAAAGUAUGACACAAAAUGCUUCAGUGAGCCGGGGGAUGAAAAUGGAGCUGUUUCGAUUGGCUGGCCCUUCAGAAACCUGCCAGGCCAGAACUGAAAGCAGACAGGUGUGCGAUUGACCGCGCACUCCAUCACUGUGCUGCAGUCAGGGUUUCAUUUCCUGGCCUGCCUUCCAAAGGGCCUCGUGAUUCCCAAGAGCCUCACUCCCCAGGGCUGCAGCAGGGAGCACUUGUACCUUGUGCAGUUUCAGAGGUUGUGGUGGCUGGAAUUCAGCACAGCUGCUUGCAGUGCUGCUGAGCAUCUCUGUGCUGUCCCCUCAUCUCAGCCUGAGUUUGGAUGCUGGCCCCAAAAGUUCAAUGCUAUCUUCCUUCCGACGCUUCCUCCUGCUCCUUUUCUACCGUGUGCCUUUUCUAGGCCACAGACCUUCCAGUACUUACAGCUGAUGCUGAGUUCCCAAGGAACUGGUUCUCCAAAAACAGGCUCCUGAGCUCCUGCAGAACCAGCCUGGUCACUGACUUACCUAGGAAUGGUUCUAGUGCAAAACUGUUAGGAGAGAAGGAAAACACCGCUCUCCCCGUCCAACCAAGAAGACCACUGGGGUGGUGAGAGCGUGAGUGAAGCUUAGCAACGUCUUGACCCACAGUGAAGGGCAGCUCUUGUCUCCCCCAUCAAACUGGUUUCACUUAGGGGAUGGUUAGCAUGUGGAUUGGCACCAGAAAGGCAAACCAUGGCAUAUCCUAGAGGUUUGCUCUUUCUGUGAGGCUCCAUUGACAAGAGCCUGGCUCCUCUGCUUUCUAUUGUCCAUGAGCUUUUGCAGCCACCUUUCCUCCCCUCCCCUUCCAGUCCUUUGGCUCUGAAACAUCUAUUCUAAACCGAUAGCUCAGAAGACACCAGGAGAUUGUAUUGCGCACAAGUUCACUAUUGCGGGGAGCAGCUCUAGUUCUGGGAAGAAUAACAGAAUACCAAAACGCCCAACUCAUGUGGACCUCAGAGAUGAUGCACUGGCUGUUUCAUCACUUGCACCUCUCCAGCGUGGGUGGCAGGCAUCUUCAGAUUUAGCAGUGUUUCCAUACCUACCCCACACGCGUUUUGCUGAAGGUGUAAACGAUCCUCCAAACACGAGGCCACUGGAGAAUAAGGCCCUAGAUUUCUCUGUCUCCACACCUACGUGUGUUCCCACACACACAAGAGAGCAUUGAUUUAGAGUAAAACACCACAUGUUGACAAUGCGAACUGCAUUUGACAGCAAAAACCACGAGGAAGUGACAAAGCAGGGAGAGACAGGAGGAGGUCUGGCUGCAUCUUGCUUGAUGCCUUUCUCCUGAAGGUGCGCUUUGAUUCUGGGAAGGCAACAUCAAGCCAGGUUCACCUUUAUGCCCCUGCUACUUGUUGCGGCUCUUUCCACACCAAGCAGACGGUUGUGUUCACAUAGGGUGGAGCUGGUGGAGCAGCUCAUUCCAGCCAGCUGCAAAUUCUAUGCUUUCAGACUCCUCUUUUCCCUGCAAUCUCAAGAAAUGAAUGAGACGUUGACCCUGACAGAGCAACCUUCACGUUGGUUAGUUUUCUCCCUCGUCUCACGCUCAUGUCCCGCCACCGGUCCAGCUAGAAGGCUUCCUAAAGGAAUUUCCAAGAAAGGUGCAUGGAAAACACAGGGUUGGCCAGGAAGAUGGCAGUGAGGGCUGCCAGGACCACACCUGUGCAGGAGGGGAGUGGUAGUGAUGGAGGAGUUAAGCAAGAUGAGCUCUCAGCAGCGGUGGGCAGCAAAGCCUGUAGUAGGCUGUUAGCCAAACUGGCCAGAAGCAUCUCUAACACAAUGCUACUAUCUUCUCUGUAGGGCUACAGGAGUGCUUGCUGAGGAAAGGAGGCUGUUGAUGGCUGGGACACGAGUCAUCCCAGGUAAGAGUAGUGGGUUCUGCCUCAUAAGGAAGCCAAUAUGCCCAGUCUGUACUGGGGAGGAUGUAGCCUGAGAGGUGACAUUUCCUGGCACUCUUCAGAAAUUUCAGAGUUUCACAUACAAACACCCUUCAAGCAUGCAAAACACAACACUCAGGAGGCUAUAGAUAGAACUGCUCUCUUCUAGGAAAUAUAUCACCCGCCUCCAGUAAAAACCAUCCUAAAGGAACUGCAAGCCAUUUCUGAAAGAUGCUAGCAGUCUUACAACUCAGGCUUUCCCAGACAACAUGCAGGGAUGGAGGUCCUCAGCCAGCUAACUUUGUAUGUUUGAGGUCAGGAGGACCAGUGUUGUUUCUUAUAUAGGAUUUGGGGAAACGACUUGAAGGUCUGGAAAUUUGCCCUGAAGCUUCAGGAGGAACAUCAAGCUUUUCAGAGAGAAAGAGGCAUCUCUGCUCCCUGCCGGGAGUGAUUUGGUGCUCAUGGCAGGGUGUGGGGAGCCCUGGUUCAGCUCUGUGUGCUAGAGCAGACUGCUCAGGCUGAGUGCUCUAUCUUCACUCCGCAGCUAAGUGCCCACAUCAUCUAGUUUUGAGUGAAAAUGCCAUCCUCUGCUGACAACCAGCAUUGCUCAAUCUAAUGGAUUCCUAUCAAAGCAUUUCUUUCAACCAACUGGCGCUUUAUCAAGGAAUCCCCAACCUGCUUGGAUUUUUUCCACUUGAAAGCGAGUGCCAGGAGCUGGAAUAGAUCCUUAUCUGAACAAUAACACUGCAGAAGCUGUACAGAGCAAGGCUUCAGCCAAUGGGCUGAACAAAAUAGUGAGCUGUAUCAAAACAGGUGUAUUUCUUUGCACCAGGCCUUGGUAGAAAUCAACAGAGACAGAGAUUCAGGCAUGUCAGUGUGCCAGAGUGGUGGCUUUCCACACAAGAGGACAACCCCAUAUUUUUGGGUUUAGAAGGACUUCACAACAUAUCUCCCUGACAUUUGUUUGUUGGCUGAUUUAUUGCACCGAGUGCCAGCCUGACUUCCUGCCAUCAGUAACACAGCGCUGUCAAUAUCUGGGCAUUGAGAUCAUUUGUCUGGCUGGUUCAUCUAUUCUUGGAGUGCUUUCUCACUUAGGAGUGAACGCUCCCAUAAAGAACUGUCUCUAACACACAGCAAAAGCAUUAUAAACUACUGGUGGAAAGCAAUGGUGCGAUGGAGUUGCUGGUCCCAUAGCACCCUCCCAUGAUGGCCAAAGAGACCGGCCAUGGUUAUCAAGCCCUGGUGCCAGCUCCCCCAGCACUGCCACAUGCCUGGGGAUACUCAGGUCAGUGCUGCUGUAAGUGACUUGUGCCAGCCUUACAUGAAGCAACAUUUCUGGGGUCUCAGCAGGGAAGUGAAGCUUCAGGUUGAGCUCUCUCCACUCGAAGGAAGCGUCACCCUUAGGAGAUGCCGAUUCUUUUGCCCAGUGCAGGGAACAGAGCUUGAAAGUCUGAAAGGAGCCGUGGUCAUGUCGUUGCUUGAGAGAGACAUAACUGGGAGGAACUGGGCAAUCAAGACAGAAAAAGUACAGCUUCCAAAUGUGUAUCGUCAUCCGGUUAAUUCCUGCCUCUCCCCCUGCUGCCUCCUCUGCUGAUGCUCCAGUCCCCACUUCAAUACCUGCCAGGUCCUCUUAGAGAGCUGACAUUUCCAUUCCUGACAUUUUCUGCAGCUCCAUCUGGGAAUUAAUGGCCGGAUAUUAGCAGCGAUGGGGCCGUUUAUCAUAAUUAGUCUCAUGAAGCUACGAAGCAUCCAACUAUUUUUCAUCAGCGCCGAGGAAAUAAACUGCAGAAUCCAGUAGAUGCGACGGACGAUUUAUUUAUUGAUUGAUUUAUUUUGGUCUGUCAGGAUGCAGCUUUAAAGUUUGCCGAGAUGAGCAAUGCUUCUCCGAGGCGAUGACGACAGUGAGGCUGCUCGCCUUGGGUACACAAGCAGCAGGAAAAAGGCCUUGAACCCCUCUGAAGCAGUGAGGAGGCAUUCGGUACCCUACAUCCGCUCUGCUGCUAUGAAAUGACAAGUGGCAACAGGUUGAGCCCUGCCUUGACAAGCCCAAGAGGAGAGAGCCACCAGCCAGGUGAUGGCAUCAGGAAUGGAAGACAUCUCCAGGCUGUGAGGAGCUGCAAGGCUGUGAGGAGCUCCAAGCUUCUGGACUAAGAUAUUCUGAAACAGGAUUGGAAAAGUUAGUUUAUUCGCAUCUCCUGACAAAACUCAAGCUGCUCUUGCUGUGCUUAUCUUACUACAGCAGGUUUCACCUCCAAACACCCAAAGCAGCCUUCGAGUUUGCAGAAUAAAACUAAAGCAAGA